rnacentral:tRNA from 1 species
GCCGAGGUAGCUCAAAGGCAGAGCAAGGGUUUUGUAAACCCUAGGUUGGGGGUUCGAGUCCUCUCCUCGGCU